rnacentral:rRNA from 1 species
UACGUAGGGGGCAAGCGUUGUCCGGAAUUAUUGGGCGUAAAGAGCGUGUAGGCGGCCAGAUAAGUCCGCUGUGAAAUCUCGAGGCUCAACUUCGAGCUGUCGGUGGAAACUAUCUGGCUAGAGUCCGGAAGAGGAGAAUGGAAUUCCUGGUGUAGCGGUGAAAUGCGCAGAUAUCAGGAAGAACACCCGUGGCGAAGGCGGCUCUCUGGGACGGUACUGACGCUGAGACGCGAAAGCGUGGGGAGCAAACAGG